AUUGAACGCUGGCGGCAGGCCUAACACAUGCAAGUCGAACGAGUGGCGGACGGGUGAGUAAUGUCAGGGAAACUGCCUGAUGGAGGGGGAUAACUACUGGAAACGGUAGCUAAUACCGCAUACCAUCAGAUGUGCCCAGAUGGGAUUAGCGUGUUGGUGGGGUAACGGCUCACCAAGGCGACAAUCCCUAGCUGGUCUGAGAGGAUGACCAGACAACAUGGAACUGAAACACGAACUAAGCUCCUACGGGAGGCGGCAGGCGGGAAUAUUGCACAGUGAGCGAGAGUCUGAGGCAGCAAUGCCGCGUGUGUAAGGGACGCCAGCUGGUGGUAAAAUACUUGCUGCGGGAAGGCGAGACCCGCAGAAGGAGCGCCGGCGAACUCCGUGCCAGCCACCGCGGUAAUAG
rnacentral:rRNA from 1 species